rnacentral:rRNA from 1 species
GAUAAACGCUGGCGGCGCACAUAAGACAUGCAAGUCGAACGGACUUAACCUUAAUAUUUAUAUUUAGGAGCGGUUAGUGGCGGACUGGUGAGUAACACGUAAGGAACCUACCUAUUAGAGGGGAAUAACAGUGAGAAAUCAUUGCUAAUACCGCAUAUGCUCACACUACCACAUGGUAGAGUGAGGAAAGGAGUAAUCCGCUAAUAGAUGGCCUUGCGCCUGAUUAGCUAGUUGGUGAGGUAAAGGCUUACCAAGGCGACGAUCAGUAGCCGGACUGAGAGGUUGAACGGCCACAUUGGGACUGAGAUACGGCCCAGACUCCUACGGGAGGCAGCAGUCGGGAAUAUUGCACAAUGGAGGAAACUCUGAUGCAGUGACGCCGCGUAUGGGAAGAAGGUUUUCGGAUUGUAAACCAUUUUAGACAGGGAAGAAAAUGACAGUACCUGUAGAAUAAGCUCCGGCUAACUACGUGCCAGCAGCCGCCGUAACAC